GAUGAACGCUAGCGGCAGGCCUAACACAUGCAAGUCGAGGGAGAAGCCCUUUCGGGGGCAGAAACCGGCGCACGGGUGCGUAACGCGUAUGCAACCUACCUUUCACAGGGGGAUAGCCAGAAGAAAUUUGGAUUAAUACCCCAAAAUAUUAUUGGAUGGCAUCAUUUGAUAAUUAAAACUGCGGUGGUGAAAGAUGGGCAUGCGUCCUAUUAGCUAGUUGGAGUGGUAACGGCACCCCAAGGCUACGAUAGGUAGGGGUCCUGAGGGGGAGAUCCCCCACACUGGUACUGAGACAGGGACCAGACUCCUACGGGAGGCAGCAGUGGGGAAUAUUGGUCAAUGGUCGGAAGACUGAACCAGCCAUGCCGCGUGCAGGAAGAAUGCCUUAUGGGUUGUAAACUGCUUUUAUAUGGGAAGAAUAAGGUGUACGUGUACAUUGAUGACGGUACCAUAUGAAUAAGCAUCGGCUAACUCCGUG
rnacentral:rRNA from 1 species